rnacentral:rRNA from 1 species
UCGAGGAUCUUCGGCAAUGGGGGCAACCCUGACCGAGCGACGCCGCGUGUGCGAUGAAGGCCUUCGGGUUGUAAAGCACUGUCGAGGGGGAGAUCUAUCCCUGGAGGGAGCACGGGCUAAGUUCGUGCCAGCAGCCGCGGUAAUACGAACCGUGCGAACGUUGUUCGGAAUCAUUGGGCUUAAAGGGCGCGUAGGCGGGCUUACAAGUCCGGGUUGAAAUACUCCAGCUCAACUGGAGAACUGGCCUGGAUACUGUAGGUCUCGAGGAAGGUAGGGGCAUCUGGAACUGAUGGUGGAGCGGUGAAAUGCGUUGAUAUCAUCAGGAACUCCGGUGGCGAAGGCGAGGUGCUGGACCUUUUCUGACGCUGAGGCGCGAAAGCCAGGGGAGCGAACGGGAUUAGAUACCCUUGUAGU